rnacentral:rRNA from 1 species
AGAGUUUGAUCAUGGCUCAGAACGAACGCUGGCGGCGCGCUUAACACAUGCAAGUCGAGCGGCCCUUUCGGGGGCAGCGGCGGACGGGUGAGUAACGCGUGGGAACCUGCCCUGGAGUUCGGGAUAGCAGCGGGAAACUGCUGGUAACCCCGGAUACGCCCCGCAAGGGGGAAAGUUCACGCUCUGGGAUGGGCCCGCGUCCGAUUAGCUAGUUGGUGGGGUAACGGCCCACCAAGGCUGCGAUCGGUAGCUGGUCUGAGAGGAUGGCCAGCCACACUGGGACUGAGACACGGCCCAGACUCCUACGGGAGGCAGCAGUGGGGAAUCUUGGACAAUGGGCGCAAGCCUGAUCCAGCGACGCCGCGUGGGUGAUGAAGGCCUUCGGGUUGUAAAGCCCUUUUCCCGGGGACGAUGAUGACGGUACCCGGGGAAUAAGCACCGGCUAACUCCGUGCCAGCCGCCGCGGUAAUUC